UACGUAGGGUGCAAGCGUGUCCGGAAUUAUUGGGCGUAAAGAGCUCGUAGGCGGUCUGUUACGUCGGCUGUGAAAACCUGGGGCUCAACCCCGGGCCUGCAACCGAUACGGGCAGACUAGAGUUCGGCAGGGGGAGACUGGAAUUCCUGGUGUAGCGGUGAAAUGCGCAGAUAUCAGGAGGAACACCCGUGGCGAAGGCGGGC
rnacentral:rRNA from 1 species